GACGAACCGAGCGAACGUUGUUCGGAAUCACUGGGCUUAAAGGGCGCGUAGGCGGGCUGUCAAGUUUGGGGUGAAAUCCCGCGGCUCAACCGUGGAACUGCCUCAAAUACUGACGGUCUCGAGGGAGAUAGGGGCGAGCGGAACUAAUGGUGGAGCGGUGAAAUGCGUUGAUAUCAUUAGGAACUCCGGUGGCGAAGGCGGCUCGCUGGAUCUCUUCUGACGCUGAGGCGCGAAAGCUAGGGGAGCAAACGGG
rnacentral:rRNA from 1 species